CCUACGGUAGGCAGCAGUGGGGAAUAUUGGGCAAUGGGCGCAAGCCUGACCCCGCAACGCCGCGUGAAGGACGAAGGCUUUCGGGUUGUACACUUCUUUUGACAGGGAAGAGUAGAAGACGGUACCUGUUGAAUAAGCCACGGCUAACUACGGGCCCGCAUCCGCGGUAAUACGUAGGUGGCAAGCGUUGUCCGGAUUUACUGGGUGUAACGGGCGUUUAGCCGGGUAGACACGUCAGAUGUGAAAUGCUGCGGCGUAACCGCAGAACUGCAGUUGAAACUGUUGAUCUUGAGUACUGGAGAGGCAGACGGAAUUACUAGGGUAGCGGUGAAAUGCGUAGAUAGUAGGAGGAACACCAGUGGCGAAGGCGGACUGCUGGACAGCAACUGACGGUGAGGCGCGAAAGCGUGGGGAGCAAACAGGAUUAGAUACCCCAGUAGUC
rnacentral:rRNA from 1 species